rnacentral:rRNA from 1 species
GUAGGGAAUCUUCCACAAUGGACGAAAGUCUGAUGGAGCAACGCCGCGUGAGUGAAGAAGGUUUUCGGAUCGUAAAACUCUGUUGUUAGAGAAGAACGUGUGUGAGAGUAACUACUCAUGCAGUGACGGUAUCUAACCAGAAAGCCACGGCUAACUACGUGCCAGCAGCCGCGGUAAUACGUAGGUGGCAAGCGUUGUCCGGAUUUAUUGGGCGUAAAGGGUGCGUAGGCGGCAAUUCAAGUCUGAUGUGAAAUUCCCGUGCUUAACAUGGGGCUUGCAUCGGAAACUGAAUAGCUAGAGUGCAGGAGAGGUAAGCGGAAUUCCUAGUGUAGCGGUGAAAUGCAUAGAUAUUAGGAGGAACACCAGUGGCGAAGGCGGCUUACUGGACUGUAACUGACGCUGAAGCACGAAAGCGUGGGGAGCAAACAGGAUUAGAAACCCCGGUAGUCC